UUCAACAACGGAUCUCUUGGUUCUGGCAUCGAUGAAGAACGCAGCGAAAUGCGAUAAGUAAUGUGAAUUGCAGAAUUCAGUGAAUCAUCGAAUCUUUGAACGCACAUUGCGCCCGUCAGUAUUCUGGCGGGCAUGCCUGUUCGAGCGUCAUUACGCC
rnacentral:rRNA from 3 species